GUCUUAGGAGAGCUGCUGGAGGAGGUGAGACGCUGGAGGACGACUAGGAAUCGACCAACAAGGAUUCCUCAACGUGUUUCUGGAGCGGAGGCGAGUUGGUAGGGGAGCCGUGAAUCUGGAGGAUGACCAUCACUCUACCAACAAGGAUUACUUUAGGGCCAGACUCGCGCUGUUUGUUCCAGACCAGGACUCUGGCUGAGGAGAGCUGAUGGAGGAGCCAAGACUCUGGAGGACGACAACACUCAACCAACCAGGAUCCUCAGACAAAUUACGUUUGUAACCAGACCAGGAAUCUGGAGGACUGAUGGAGAAGCCGUACAUCUGGAAUGCAAAUCCUGAGGACCACCAGGACUCUACCAUCAAGGAUUCCUCUUAAGUUUGCAUUAUCUGGACAUAGUGGACUAGACACACCAGAGCUGAACCUCACCUGAUCCUGUUUGGUCGGGGGUAGACACACCUGAGCUAAACCCGCCCUGAUCCUGACAUCCUGCUGGUCCCGUCUCCUCAGUUCAUCUGAGCCUCGUCCUCCUGAAGACCUGCUGAGCUCAGCAGUCUGAGGCUUAUGGAUCAAUGACCUCCAGUGGGAGUGAUCUUCUUGACCCCACAUGUAACCGUGUGCUUCCACACGUCUUUCCCUCACGUCUGUCACUAACCUCACUACUUCACUACUACUCUCUACUGCUUCCUCUUUUCUUCCUUCUCUGUGGUUCAAACCUUUACACUGAAGGCGCGUCUUCCUGCCCUCAAAGGGUUUAGCGUUAGGGUUGAGAGUCAGGGUUUAGAGUCAGGGACAGCUGGUCAGGGAGGACUGCUUUUACACAAACCUCUUCACUUGCUUUCGGAAUGGUGGUGACAUUUUGAAAAGAUUCAUUUGGGAAAAUGUUUUCCUCUGCUUUCCUUUACAAAUUUGUAUUAAACUUCUGUCAAGUGUUUUUGUUUAUAUAUAAAAAUCCCAC